UGGGUGGUUGUUAGGCGGUUGCUAUGGUAACCUGGGUGGUUGCUAGGGUGUUGCUAGUCAGUUGCUAAGGUACUUGGGGUGGUUGCUAAGGUGUUGCUAGGCGGUUGCUAGGGUGUUCUGGGUGGUUGCUAGGCGGUUGCUAUGGUAACCUGAGUGGUUGCUAGGCGGUUGCUAGGCAGUUGCUAAGGUACUUGGGGUGGUUGCUAAGGUGUUGCUAGGCGGUUGCUAGGGUGUUCUGGGUGGUUGCUAGGCGGUUGCUAUGGUAACCUGGGUGGUUGCUAGGCUGUUGCUAGGCAGUUGCUAAGGUACUUGGGGUGGUUGCUAAGGUGUUGCUAGGCGGUUGCUAAGGUGUUCUGGGUGGUUGCUAGGCGGUUGCUAUGGUAACCUGGGUGGUUGCUAGGGUGUUGCUAGGCAGUUGGUAAGGUACUUGGGGCAGUUGCUAAGGUGUUGCUAGGCGGUUGCUAGGGUGUUAUGGGUGGUUGCUAGGCAGUUGCUAUGGUACUUGGGGUGGUUGCUAAGGUGUUGCUAGGCGGUUGCUAAGGUGUUCUGGGUGGUUGCUAGGCGGUUGCUAUGGUAACCUGGGUGGUUGCUAGGGUGUUGCUAGGCAGUUGGUAAGGUACUUGGGGCAGUUGCUAAGGUGUUGCUAGGCGGUUGCUAGGGUGUUAUGGGUGGUUGCUAGGCAGUUGCUAUGGUAACCUGGGUGGUUGCUAUGAUGUUACUAGGUGGUUGGUAGUUGUCACAGAUGGUUACUAUGGUGUUUUUAUAGAGUUCUUAGCAUGUUCUUAGACACUUUAGCACUUAGCUAAUCACUAUUAGCAUGUAGCUAUUCACUGCUAGCAUGUGUAGCAUGUUGGAAGUCCAGUUUGCUAGCAUGAGUCAAAAGAGCCAACCGCCAUGUCUCUACGAUGUUCUGAUGCAGAGAUAUAGGUCUUGCAAAACGGUUGCUAGGGUACUCUAUUUGGUUGCUAGGGAGUGGCUUGGCAGCUACCAAUGAUGAUACUCCAAAGGCUGCUUGCCAGUAUGAAUGAUAUAAACCAACCCCCAUGCCUCUAUGAUAUUCAGAUUUGAAGAUAUCCCUCUAUGCUUUGGGUUGCUAGGGUGCUCUAAAUGGUUGCUAGGGCGUGGCUAUGAAGUCUUGAAGGUGAUUCGUGAUUGGCCGUUUGCUGUCCUGAGUCAAAUGAGCCCACCCUCAUGUUCCUAUGACACUUCUAUCCAAAGGAAUAUCUUUGAUCUUUUUGAAUGGAAGUCUAUGGAACCUGUUGCUAUGGUGCUCUAUAUGGUUGCUAGGGCGUGGCUUGAUAGCGUCACAUUGAUCCUGAGAGACUGAUUGGUUGCCUGAGUGAAAUGAGCCCGCCCCCUUGUCUCUAUGACACUGUGAUCAAUAGUGAGAGAUGUGAGUGAGUGAGAGAAAGGGUUCUAAGGCCCUGCGUGUGUGUGCGUGUGUGAGAAAGUGACAGUUGAGAUUCAAAUUUCUGAACAUUCCGCCAUUGAAAGUCAAUGGGACUUUUUUGGCCGCUUUUUCGCCCCCUGUGCGAACAUCGUUGGGCCGAUCGCUUAUAAAAGUCAUAGCACACCUCUCCUCAAUGAGCCGGUCGAUUUGACACCUCAUUCAUGGGUCUAGGACAAAAACUGCGGGACAAGUUACGCGCCGAAGUUUUUGUCCAGAAGAAGAAGAAGAAUAAUAAUAAUAAUAAUAAUAAUAAGUAUGCAGGAGAACAAUAAUGAUGCUUUGCCUUUGGCAAGCACCAUUAACUAGAAUGUACAUUUCCUGAAGAAAAUGUGAAUGGUGCUUGCAGUGGCAAAACUCGGCACUCGGUUGCUAGGGUGUUUCUAGGCAAUUGCUAAGGUGUUCUGGGUGGUUGCUAGGCGGUUGCUAUGGUAACCUGGGUGGUUGCUAGGGUGUUGCUAGGCAGUUGCUAAGGUACUUGGGGUGGUUGCUAAGGUGUUGCUAGGCGGUUGCUAGGGUGUUCUGGGUGGUUGCUAGGCGGUUGCUAUGGUAACCUGGGUGGUUGCUAGGGUGUUGCUAGGCAGUUGCUAAGGUACUUGGGGCAGUUGCUACGGUGUUGCUAGGCGGUUGCUAGGGUGUUCUGGGUGGUUGCUAGGCGGUUGCUAUGGUAACCUGGGUGGUUGCUAGGGUGUUGCUAGGCAGUUGGUUAGGUACUUGGGGCUGUUGCUACGGUGUUGCUAGGCGGUUGCUAGGGUGUUAUGGGUGGUUGCUAGGCAGUUGCUAUGGUAACCUGGGUGGUUGCUAUGAUGUUACUAGGUGGUUGGUAGUUGUCACAGAUGGUUACUAUGGUGUUUUUAUAGAGUUCUUAGCAUGUUCUUAGACACUUUAGCACUUAGCUAAUCACUAUUAGCAUGUAGCUAUUCACUGCUAGCAUGUGUAGCAUGUUGGAAGUCCAGUUUGCUAGCAUGAGUCAAAAGAGCCAACCGCCAUGUCUCUACGAUGUUCUGAUGCAGAGAUAUAGGUCUUGCAAAACGGUUGCUAGGGUACUCUAUUUGGUUGCUAGGGAGUGGCUUGGCAGCUACCAAUGAUGAUACUCCAAAGGCUGCUUGCUAGUAUGAAUGAUAUAAACCAACCCCCAUGCCUCUAUGAUAUUCAGAUUUGAAGAUAUCCCUCUAUGCUUUGGGUUGCUAGGGUGCUCUAAAUGGUUGCUAGGGCGUGGCUAUGAAGUCUUGAAGGUGAUUCGUGAUUGGCCGUUUGCUGUCCCGAGUCAAAUGAGCCCACCCUCAUGUUCCUAUGACACUUCUAUCCAAAGGACUAUCUUUGAUCUUUUUGAAUGGAAGUCUAUGGAACCUGUUGCUAUGGUGCUCUAUAUGGUUGCUAGGGCGUGGCUUGAUAGCUUCACAUUGAUCCUGAGAGACUGAUUGGUUGCCUGAGUGAAAUGAGCCCGCCCCCUUGUCUCUAUGACACUGUGAUCCAGAGUUAUGUUCAAUACAAAAUCCCUAUGUAAUUUCCCAUAGUAGGAAAAACACACUGUUUUAUGGGCACGGCUUCACCAUAGUAAGUCUAUGGGGCAAAUUUGGGCAGCUCUUGCGCCCCAGGGGUACAACUUACACCCCAUUUUGAGGUAUGGUCUGACAGAGACUGUCAGCCUCUUCAAACGUGGUAACCCACAUGUUUCUACGAAAUUCUCGUUAGGAGCUAUGACUCGUCAAAGUUUGUCGCAAUGUUAAGUCAAUGGGAUUUUUCGGCUACUUUUUCGCCCGCUGGACGAACAUCGUACACCCAAUCGCUUAUAAAAGUCAUAGCACACCUCUCCUCAAUAAUCCGCACGAUUUGACACCUCAUUCGUGGGUCUAGGACAAAAGCUGCGGGACAAGUUACGCGCCGAAGUUUUGUCCAGAAGAAGAAGAAGAAUAAUAAUAAUAAUAAUAAUAAUAAGUAUGCAGGAGAACAAUAAUGAUGCUUUGCCUUUGGCAAGCACCAUUAACUAGAUAAAAAAGUUCGUCGAGACAAACUUUAAGUUGGCUUGAAAAAGUUGGUCCAGAAAGUUUAAAGUAGUUUAUAAAGUUUAAAGUUUUAGUUUAGUAGUUUUGAGACAGACAGACGGACAGACAGACAGACAGACAGACAGACAGACAGACAGAUAGAUAGAUAGAUAGAUAGAUAGAUAGAUAGAUGAGAAGUGAUAGAUGAGAAGUGAUAGAUAGAUAGAUAGAUAGAUAGAUAGAUAGAUAGAUAGAUAGAUAGAUGAGUUUAUGAGUUUGAAUGAGGAUGGAUAGAUGAGAAGUGAUAGAUAGAUAGAUAGAUAGAUAGAUAGAUAGAUAGAUAGAUGAGAAGUGGUAGAUGAGAAGAGAUAGAUAGAUAGAUAGAUAGAUAGAUAGAUAGAUAGAUAGAUAGAUAGAUAGAUAGAUGAGAAGUGGUAGAUGAGAAGAGAGAUAGAUGAGAAGUGAUAGAUAGAUAGAUAGAUAGAUAGAUAGAUAGAUAGAUAGAUAGAUA